GCGGGGCUAAUGCGCCUGCGAAGUGGUGCUGCCUGCGCGUGCGCGUUUGCCGAGCUUGGGGAGGCUCGGUCUAGUGGAGCGGUCGGUGGCGGCGGAGCGGCUCGAGCGGGCGCCGGGAUGUGGUACGAGAUCCUGCCCGGCGUGGCCGUCAUGUGCCUGUGCCUGACCAUCCCCGGCGUGUCGCUCACCCAGAUCCACAGAUACCUCAACGGGGGCAAGGAAAAGAGAAUUGCUCGCCAGCCCUACCAGUGGCACCUGAUGGAGAGAGACCGGCGACUGUCGGGGGUUAAUGAAUACCAUCGGUCCAAGUAGGCUGUGCAACAGCAUGCAUGACAAACUUUACAGUAGGGUUACAUUGGUAUGCAUCAUUUGGCGCUCAGCAUAAAGGUUUUCUUUAUUAGCUGAACUGAGAGAAAAUAGUCAUUCCCUAGAAGAACCAGAAACAAAACCAGCUCUCUACCCUUCUGAUGACUUGGAUAUUUGCAUACACAAAUUCCUGUUGGUGCAAGUUACUCUUCUACCCCUUUCCAGAUGGAGGAGAGAGUCAGCUCUUACAGAAAGUGAGCUGCGGCUGACCGUUUCAGAUGGCUUCCCAACUGAAGAUCCUUCCAUUCCCAGAAAGGAUCAAAAUACUAUUCCUGCAGUACAGCAACAUUCUUCUGCUUUAAUAUCAUUUGUAAUCCGAAUGGUGUGAAUCAGCUCUCAUUAGUUAUGUGCAGCUUUCACUUGUCUGGGGAGACCCUGCUGCUGAUUGAGCCCCUAAAUUUUCAAAAGCACCUAAGUGGCUUAGGAGCACAAGACCUGAAAGUCAAUGGGGCUUAUGCUCUAGAAUCACUCUGGUGCGUUUGAAAAUCCUGCCCUAUAUGAAACAACAGAAUGUUUUAUGACUGUAUUAACGUAUAGGGAGAGAAAA